rnacentral:rRNA from 1 species
UACGUAGGGCGCAAGCGUUUGUCCGGAAUUAUUGGGCGUAAAGAGCUCGUAGGCGGUUUGUCGCGUCUGCUGUGAAAUCCCGAGGCUCAACCUCGGGCCUGCAGUGGGUACGGGCAGACUAGAGUGCGGUAGGGGGAGAUUGGAAUUCCUGGUGUAGCGGUGGAAUGCGCAGAUAUCAGGAGGAACACCGGUGGCGAAGGCGGGUCUCUGGGCCGAUACUGACGCUGAGUGCGCGAAAGCCAGGGGGAGCAAACGGGG